UACGGGGGGGGCAAGCGUUGUUCGGAAUUACUGGGCGUAAAGGGCGCGUAGGCGGCGCGGUAAGCGUGCGGUGAAAGUCCGGGGCUCAACCCCGGAUCGGCCGUGCGGACUGCCGGGCUUGAGCACUGUAGGGGCGGGUGGAACUCCGGGUGUAGCGGUGGAAUGCGUAGAGAUCCGGAAGAACACCGGUGGCGAAGGCGGCCCGCUGGGCAGUGACUGACGCUGAGGCGCGACAGCGUGGGGAGCAAACAGG
rnacentral:rRNA from 1 species